rnacentral:tRNA from 1 species
GGAGAAAUGGCCGAGUGGUUUAAGGCGCAGCAUUGGAAAUGCUGUUCAAGCAUAAGUUUGACGAGGGUUCGAAUCCCUCUUUCUCUU